AGGGACCCCCCGUGCGGCGGCAUCAUGCCCAACUCCCCCAGGGCCGGAAGGCAGCAAGGGUAAGCGUGCUCUGUCGGGUGCGCGGGGGGUCACUUCA
rnacentral:SRP_RNA from 1 species